rnacentral:rRNA from 1 species
UUGAUUAAGCUCAUUAGGGUUAGCCUCGGUACGGUCAGGCAUCCACGGCGCUUUAAAAUAGUUGUUAUAGAUAUUCAAAUAACCCUGAAACAAAUGCUUAGGGAUUUUAUUGGUAUCAGGGUUAAUCGUGCCAAGAAAAGCGGCAUGGUCAAUAUAACCAGUAGUGUUAACAGUCGGGAGAGGAGUGGCAUUAACACCAUCCUUCAUGAACUUAAUCCACUGUUCACCAUAAACGUGACGAUGAGGGACAUAAAAAGUAAAAAUGUCUACAGUAGAGUCAAUAGCAAGGCCACGACGCAAUGGAGAAAGACGGAGAGCGCCAACGGCGUCCAUCUCGAAGGAGUCGCCAGCGAUAACCGGAGUAGUUGAAAUGGU